UACGUAGGGGGCAAGCGUUGUCCGGAAUCAUUGGGCGUAAAGCGCGUGUAGGCGGCUCGGUAAGUCCGCUGUGAAAGUCCAGGGCUCAACCCUGGAAUGCCGGUGGAUACUGUCGGGCUCGAGUCCGGAAGAGGCGAGUGGAAUUCCUGGUGUAGCGGUGAAAUGCGCAGAUAUCAGGAGGAACACCAAUGGCGAAGGCAGCUCGCUGGGACGUGACUGACGCUGAGACGCGAAAGCGUGGGGAGCAAACAGG
rnacentral:rRNA from 1 species